GACGAACGCUGGCGGCGUGCUUAACACAUGCAAGUCGAACGAAGAGCGAUGGAAGCUUGCUUCUCUCAAUCUUAGUGGCGAACGGGUGAGUAACGCGUAAUCAACCUGCCCUUCAGAGGGGGACAACAGUUGGAAACGACUGCUAAUACCGCAUACGAUCUAAUCUCGGCAUCGAGGAUAGAUGAAAGGUGGCCUCUACAUGUAAGCUAUCACUGAAGGAGGGGAUUGCGUCUGAUUAGCUAGUUGGAGGGGUAACGGCCCACCAAGGCGAUGAUCAGUAGCCGGUCUGAGAGGAUGAACGGCCACAUUGGGACUGAGACACGGCCCAGACUCCGACGGGAGGGAGCAGUGGGGGAUCUUCCGAAAUGGACGAAAGUCUGACGGAGCAACGCCGCGGGAGUGAUGACGGCCUUCGGGUUGGAAAGCUCUGUUAAUCGGGACGAAAGGCCUUCUUGCGAAUAGUGAGAAGGAUUGACGGUACCGGAAUAGAAAGCCACGGCUAACUACGUG
rnacentral:rRNA from 1 species